rnacentral:rRNA from 1 species
UACGGGGGGAGCAAGCGUUGUUCGGAUUUACUGGGCGUAAAGGGCGCGUAGGCGGCCACCGCAAGUCAAUUGUGAAAUCUCCGGGCUUAACUCGGAAAGGUCAACUGAUACUGCGGGGCUAGAGUGCGGAAGGGGCAACUGGAAUUCUCGGUGUAGCGGUGAAAUGCGUAGAUAUCAGGAGGAACACCGGUGGCGAAGGCGGUUCUCUGGGCAUUACCUGACGCUGAGGAGCGAAAGUGUGGGGAGCGAACAGG